ACGGGAGGCAGCAGUGGGGAAUAUUGGGCAAUGGGCGCAAGCCUGACCCAGCAACGCCGCGUGAAGGAUGAAGGUCUUCGGAUUGUAAACUUCUUUACUCGGGGAAGAGGGAAAUGAGCUACCCGAGGAAUAAGCCACGGCUAACUACGUGCCAGCAGCCGCGGUAAUACGUAGGUGGCAAGCGUUAUCCGGAUUUACUGGGUGUAAAGGGCGCGUAGGCGGCUCUGUAAGUCAGAAGUGAAAUUCCCGAGCUCAACUUGGGCGUUGCUUUUGAAACUACAGAACUUGAGUACUGGAGGGGAAAGCGGAAUUCCUAGUGUAGCGGUAAAAUGCGCAGAAAUUAGGAGGAACACCGGUGGCGAAGGCGGCUUUCUGGACAGUAACUGACGCUGAGGCGCGAAAGCGUGGGGAGCAAACAGGAUUAGAUACCCUGGUA
rnacentral:rRNA from 1 species